CUCUUUGGCAAAGUUGGGGUGCAGAUGGAGGGAUUGCUCUCCAUUGGCUCUCAUGAUGGUUCUUUCCCUGUAUCUGAGGCUUCUUACAGAUUUAUAUGCCAGAGCCAAGUCUCCAAGGGAAACCCAAGGUGUUACAGCCAGUGAUAUUGAUGAUUUAGUAGGAGGAUAAAUCCAAUCAGUGUUACUCUAUCUUGGUUGGAAGCAAGAAUCUCAUAAGUAUUCAGCAAACCAAGCAAACUUUUAAUAAGAAUCUGCAUUUCCACAUGUUGGUGGUUUGGAACAUCCCAGGAGGCCAAAGUCAUAACUUGAGGGAGAGAUGAUGCAACCCUAACCCAGGUUAAAAGGUUCUGAGUCACCUGCUCAGUUUACUUAUUGGCUCUGCCCAAGCCUGGUCUUUUAUAUUUUAUUUCCACUUGAUUAUAUAUUGCUUCUUGCCCAGUCAACCUUAUAGCUAGGUGUGUCAGAAACACCCAGUUCAUAAUGGAAAGCUCAGAACACAUAGUUACCUGACGUCCCAUGGUAGAGAUUCUAUCUCUCUUCUAAGCUUAGUAUAAAGA
rnacentral:lncRNA from 1 species